UACAGAGGUCUCAAGCGUUGUUCGGAUUCAUUUGGGCGUAAAGGGUGUGUAGGUGGCGCGCUAAGUCGGGUGUGAAAUUUCGGAGCUUAACUCCGAAACUGCAUUCGAUACUGGCGUGCUUGAGGACUGGAGAGGAGACUGGAAUUCAUGGUGUAGCAGUGAAAUGCGUAGAGAUCAUGAGGAAGACCAGUGGCGAAGGCGGGUCUCUGGACAGUUCCUGACACUGAGACACGAAGGCCAGGGGAGCAAACGGG
rnacentral:rRNA from 1 species